rnacentral:tRNA from 1 species
GCGGGCGUGGCGGAAUUGGCAGACGCGCCAGACUUAGGAUCUGGUGGUACCCCCGUGCAGGUUCAAGUCCUGUCGCCCGCACCA